CCUCCCGCCGUGGGCAGCCGGCGCCGGCCCGUCCCGUCGCGGGGCUCGGUGGGCUCGGUGGGCUCGGUGGGCUCGGCUGCGCUGCCCCUCCGCAUGCGGGGGUCGCGGGUGGGCGGCAGCCCCGGCCCCCCCCGGCCCGCCAUGGCCCGGCUCUCGGUCAAGGAGCACCUGGACGGGAUCCUCUCCGACUUCGAAGCGCUCAAGAAGUCAUUUGAGGCAGAAGAUGGGGACGAGGCACCCGGCUCCUUGCUGUCCCCAGGCACCGGCGACAGCCCCCAGCCACUGCAGCCGGGCCACCCGCCCCGCCUGGGCAGCGGCCCCAGCCCGGCGCCCAGCCCCGUGCUGCGGACACGGCUCGGUACCGGCCCGGCCACCGGCCGAGCCAACGGCACCGGCAGCACCGGCAUCGCCCGCGCCGCCUCCUUCCAGAGCCGCCAGGCCUCGGCCACGGGGCCGGGCAGCGACGGGGAGAGCCAGCGCAGCUCGUCCUCCAGCCUGGAGAGCCCCGCGCCCACCGGGCCCCCCCAGCCACCGGGCGGCUCCCCGGCUGCCAGCCCCGGCUUGAAGAAGGUCCCGUCCCACGGCAGCGUCUUCCCGGUGGAGCUGGACCAUCCCCUCCGCGGGGCCGCCGCCAGCCGCGGCUCUCUGCCAGCGCUGGACCUGCACAUCGCCGAGGAGCCGGGCCUGGGGACGCCGUGGGGCACGCAGAGCUCUGCAGCCCAGCCUCGCAGCCCCCAGCCUUCCUCCUCAUCCUCCUCCUCCUCCUGCCUGCCGCCAUGCGCUGGCACAGAGACAGCCCCGGGGCGGUGGGACACGGCUCACGGCGCGGCGCUCCGGUCACAGCGGAGGGUGACACUCAGCGCCAGCCCCGUCCCGUCCCGCCGGGCCCCGGCUCAGCCCCGGGCACAGGCAGAGGCAGCCCCGGCUGGGGGCAGGCCCGAGGGGCUGCCACCGCUGCCAGCCCCCCAGGCCGCCACUUUCAGGCUGGUGUCGCAGCCGCAGACGGUGCAAGUGAGCUCCCAGCCCGCCUUCCUCGGGGGGCUGGUGCUGGUGCCGGCCCUGGGGAUGAUGGCACCGCGGGGACCCUGCGCGGUGGCCGCGGCUCCCGGCGAGGCAGCGCUGACGCCGGAGCACGGUAGGACUUAUUCUUGUCCCCGUCCCUCUCUCCGCCGGGCUGCCAAAACCCCGCACCGGGUGAUGCCGGGAAGAGCGCGGAGCGACGGCGAUUUUGGGGACAGACACCCGCCAGCUCUCGCCGCUCGCCGUGCCGGGGCCCGCACCGGCUGUGGGGGGCCGAAGGCGCGGAGCUGGCGGCGCUCCCGGCCCGCCCGUGCCCGCGGUGCCUGGCGAGCCGCCCGCAGCCCCGGCGCUGGGGCGCUCCCGGCGCUCCCGGUUCCCAGACAGGUCGGGACUCAUGUGCCCAUCGCGCCGGCCCCGCGCGUGCCGCGUAUCGCCGCGAUCUUGUCCCGCGUCCAGCGCUUUCUUCCCCUCUCAUCCCUCCCGCCUUGGCACGGGGCUGGAUCCUGUUCCUCCCUCCCCGGGAGGCGCGGGAGGUGGCGGCGGGCCAAGUGCGCCGGGGCGUGCUCGGCGUGCGCCCAGCGCCGCGGGCAGCGCUGCCCGGCUCCCGGUGCCACGGUGGGCGCUGACAAGCCCCCGUGCCCGUCCCCAUCAAGGGGAAGGGGCAGCCGGGUGUCCCUCUUCCCAGCGGCCGCUCCGGGAGGCGCGGGGGUGGCCGGAGAUGGCCGCCACCGCCGGUGCUCCCCGGUUGGGCGCUCGGGGCUCUUUGCCCGUCUCGCUGGGCUGUCGCCGGGCCCUAAGUACAGACGCGGGGAAGGCAUCCAUCCAUCCAUCCAUCCGCCCCGGGCCGCGCUGAAUCAUCCCCCAGCAAUGCCCCUGGCCGUGCUGCCCAGCCAGCCCGGCUGCCCGCGGCUCCCCGGGCCGGGAAUGGGGCCGGGCACCGCCGGGGUCAUGGGGACACGCGGGGAGCAGAGCCCGAGGCUGAGCCAAGUGAUGGGGACACUGAGGGACAGCGCUCAGGGCUGGGACAGGUGAUGGCGACAAGGAUGUGGUGUUGAGGGCUGAGUCAGGAGUGAUGGGGACACAAAGGGACAGCAGCUGCGGCGGCGCCAAGGUGACAGGGACAUGGGGACAGGGUACCUGGGGCCAAGCUGGUCACGGGAAGACAAGUGACAGUGCUCAGGGCUGUGACAGGGACACGGUGCUCAAAAGCAAGCUGGGGUGGCAGGGAAAUGGGGACACGGAGCUCGGGAUGGAGCCGGGGUGAUGAGGGGACAGUGCUCAGGGCUGUGACAGCGACAUGGUGCUCAAGAGCAAGCUGGGGUGGCAGGGAAAUGGGGACACGGAGCUCGGGAUGGAGCCGGGGUGAUGAGGGGACAGUGCUCAGGACAGAGCCGCCUUGGUGGCCGCAGCCGAGCGCGCUGUGCCCAGGCUGGGGUGGGGCAGGAGCCAGCGGGCAGCGGGUGGCACCGGCUGCCCUGCAGAUGGCCCGGGCUGGCAGGGGGCUGGCGGACACUGCUGGGCACAGCGGUUUCUCUGGCAGGAAGAGGUGGGAACGUGCUGUUCCCCCUGCCGGGAGGCCACCCCGGCCCCCAGCCGCUGCCACCCGUGGAUGGCCUCGGGGUGCCGUGGCGCGGUGGGUCCCACACCCCGCAGGAGGAAGCUCCGAGCGAGCCGCCGGCCGCAGCAUUUCACUUCCACGCCGGGUCGCCCACGCAGGGCCCGGGGCAAGGAGGAGGAGGAGCGGAGGAGGAGCCGUGGGCAGCAGCCGCCCUCUGCCUUGCACCCCAGGAGCCAUUCGGCCCCGGUGACCGGCUCUCGGCGACAGCAGCCCCGGCUCCGGCCGGCUCGCCCAG
ensembl:lncRNA